UGGCUCCCAGGCUUCUAUACCCAGCCUCUGUGUGACCUGCACUGCACCCAUAAACAGACCCCCUGCCUAGGAUUCCAGGGACCAAUCCUUGCUGGGGCUGCCUCUCCCUAUACCCAUUCCUCCAGCAGCCACUAAGAAAAUGCUGGUAUGGAAAACCCAUUCUGAGCUCGGUUUCCAAAAGUUUAAUCUCUCCUUCCAGGAUUCAGAAGACAAAUCCUUAAACCUCACUGUGAGGGAGAUUGUUAGAUCCAAACAACACGGAUGCUGGGGUCUCUUCUGUUGGUAAAGGGAAUGGUGGCCAUGGGGUAGGGCCUGGGGCACUGAUGAGAAAGGAAGACAGCCAGAGACCUACUCAUAUCUACCGUUUCCUUCAGCAAAACAAGGUGGGAAAAUUACAAAAAGAUCACAUCACAUUCUUCUGAUCCUAUGACUCCACCCAGGCAAGUGCAGAUGAGCAAAUGGGAGUUCAGAGCAUUUGAAAGACUUGCUCAAGGUGGAGGUGAUGGUGCAGAGAGGGGGUGAUGCAACUGCCUGCAUGUAUCACCUACUGAGUGCCAGCUCCACGUCCCACAGGGAGGUACAGAGACAAUGGAGGAAACAGCGCAGGCUUGAAUAAUUAUCACACCUCUGAGUGACAGAUACAAUGAGAGACCUAUGUCCGGGGAUCAGGAUCCAUUCAGAGGAGAGGUUCUGGGGUGGGGAAAGGAGUCUUGGGUCAGGUAUUUCAGUAUUGCUGGUUGGAGCACAAGGGGAGAAGAGGGACAGGAGGCUGGAGAAUCAGGCAGCCGGAUCUUCAGGCACCUGGGGUGCUGCGUGAAUGUCCGGGACUCAAGGAGCCAUUGAAGGCCAGUGCCUGAGGGCAGUGUGGCAAGGGGGUGAUACCCCUCAUCGUUGGAGCACCAGGACGACCUAGCCAGUCAGUUUUGGCUGCCAGAAGCCCCAUCUGAUACCCCAGAAUGUCAUUUCAGUGUUGCCAUUUUCUACAUGUGCCAUGGCCUGCAAGAGGCUGGGAAAGAUACUCCUCAUGUGCACACAGUACAGUUGGCAGCAAAGAGCCACUGAGAAGCACCUUCCUUGGAGGCCUGGCAUGUUCCCCACAGUUCCACUUGGCGCUGGCCAUGUCACCCUGGUUUUCUUCUCCCGCGGACAUUGUCACAGCCAUAAUGCAAUUUACACUGGUUUUGGAAAGUUUUUCAUAAAAAAACAUUUUAA